GUCACCUGGAAGUGACAUUUUCUCGGUUGUUUGUACAUUAUUAUUUAUAUCUAAUAUUUUUUAAGUACAUACCAGUCGUAACGGGAGUGAAUGAAGAUAGUUGCUCAGUGAAACUCCAUAUUUUGUGACCAACGACCGUAUUUUGACAUACCGCUUGGCGAGCUGGAGAACGGGAGUCUGAACCGGAGCUUUCUGGGCGUUAGAGAAGUCUAACAGGUCAUUGGUUUGUUAUCACAACACAGCAAACGAGCAAGGAAUGAUGUCUGAUAAACAUUAAGAGAGGUGAUGACCACUCCACUCCCAUUGUCAACUCUCUCCUGACAUGAACUGAAGCCACGUCUCAUGUUCAUCCACUGGCACAUUGAAUGUUUCCUCUCCAACCACUUCAAAUCCUGUCCUGCACUCAAGCCAAGUCUUUAUUAAAGGCUUUUACACACUUUGUGGUCUCUGUGCAUUCCGCACCUAUACUGUGGAUCUCUAAUCCUCCUAACGUUUUCACGUCACCAGCCUCCACUGGACUACAGACGGUAUCUUGAUGCAUGUAAGGAUAAAUCGACCAAAAACAGUGUGACCCCGCCCCCCAGCCAAAUAAAUUUUAUUUAGACAGGAGUAAUUAUAUCAUUUGGCCGAAACAUCAAUUUACCUUAGGGCAAUCCAACAUCCUAACAGUGCACUGUGCACCCGCCAACUUUCCUUUCCAAUGUUCAGGGAGCUGAAUCCAGAGAUCUGUAUAUAAUGACGAGAUGCUCAUGUCUUUGCCCUAACAAUGGGAGUCUUUGUCCCAAAGGCGGGAAGACAGGCGACAAGCUCAAAAUCUGGAAAUGAUCCCCAUAGAAACACAUUGGGUUAUCCUGGACAGAAUUUGGCGAGUGAGCCCUCUCGCCUCUCUUCCUCCCUGCUGAGACUAUAUCACCGAAGAAUGCAUCAGAGCGUAACAGAUCCCCGACCACCACACGGGCUACUUUGGCACUGGUUUCCCCCACAUGCUCUUCAUGGUGCACCCCGAGUACAGACCCCACCAGCACUACUUAGGCACUGGUUUCCCCCACAUGCUCUUCAUGGUGCACCCUGAGUACAGACCCCACCAGCACUACUUCGGCACUGGUUUCCCCCACAUGCUCUUCAUGGUGCACCCUGAGUACAGACCCCACCAGCACUACUUCGGCACUGGUUUCCCCCACAUGCUCUUCAUGGUGCACCCCGAGUACAGACCAGCACCAGCACUGGAUUCCCCCACAUGCUCUUCAUGGUGCACCCUGAGUACAGACCCCACCAGCACUACUUCGGCACUGGUUUCCCCCACAUGCUCUUCAUGGUGCACCCUGAGUACAGACCAGCACCAAAACAGAAAAGUUGGAGGGAAAGGAAGUCCAUGGAUGUUAUUGGAUUUUACUGUUUCCUUUUGUGAUGAUGGGAUUUGACCCUACUGUUUCCUUUUGUGAUGAUGGGAUUUGACCCUACUGUUUCCUUUUGUGAUGAUGGGAUUUGACCCUACUGUUUCCUUUUGUGAUGUUACCCCAUUUUGCCCCAAUGAUGAACUCUCGCCACGUUCAGUUCUGUUCUGUCUUUGGCACGGUUUGGUAAAGGGUCGUGGUAGACCACCACCACUGGUUGAAUAACAAUGCCUGCUCCACCCCCAUACGCAUGGACACUGGCUGGCUCUCACGGAGACUGCUUGGUUGAUGAUAAGGACAAAAUCUGUCACUAAGGGUGUUGCCAUUUUACCUGCUUCUGUAAACUAUUGUUUUACCAAGGCACACACUCAGGCUUGUGUCACUGUUUCACUGUGUGACACUCACUGAGGCCAGUGUGUCAAGGCAGUCAUUCACAAUAGUGUUCUGUCAAAUUUGCCUUAAACAGAGAAACGUACGGGCGCUGUGAUUUGUGGUUUACAGGAAGUGUGAGUCUCGGACACAUUAUAGCUUUGAAUUUGUAUGUAUGUGCGACGUAGGAUAGACAGAAAUAAACCAGAAUGACCCAGAAAAGACCAACCAAACCCACCUGCUGUCUCUGUCACACAAAACAACAGUCCCGUUGGAGGUUCCAGUCUGUGAACUGUCGCCGGACGUUCUGGACUGGGUACUGUCACCGGACGCUCUGGACUGGGUACUGUGGCCGGACGCUCUGGACUGGGUACUGUCGCCGGAUGUUCUGGACUGGGUACUGUCACCGGACGCUCUGGACUGGGUACUGUGGCCGGACGCUCUGGACUGGGUACUGUCACCCGGACGCUCUGGACUGGGUACUGUGGCCGGACGCUCUGGACUGGGUACUGUGGCCGGACGCUCUGGACUGGGUACUGUCACCGGACGCUCUGGACUGGGUACUGUGGCCGGACGCUCUGGACUGGGUACUGUGGCCGGACGCUCUGGACUGGGUACUGUCACCGGACGCUCUGGACUGGGUACUGUGGCCGGACGCUCUGGACAGGGUACUGUGGCCGGACGCUCUGGACUGGGUACUGUCACCGGACGCUCUGGACUGGGUACUGUGGCCGGACGCUCUGGACUGGGUACUGUCACCGGAAGCUCUGGACUGGGUACUGUGGCCGGACGCUCUGGACUGGGUACUGUCGCCGGACGCUCUGUGGGCCUGGUGCGUGGUGCCAGCACUGGUGGUACCGGGCUGGAGACACGCACCUCAAGGCAAGUGCGAGGAGCAGGAACAGGGCGUACUGGACCCUGGAGGCGCACUGGAGGCCUGGUGCAUGGUGCCGGAACUGGUGUUACCGGGCUGGAGACGAGCACCUCAGGGUGAGUGCGGAGAGGAGGCACAGGAUACACUGGACCGUGGAGACGAGAACAUAGAGCUGGAUCAAUACAUCCUGGCUGGAUGCCCAUUCUAGCCAGGCAAAUGCAAGGAGCUGGAUUAGAGCGCACCGGGCUAGAAUAGCGCACUGGAGACACCAUGCUCUCCACCUGACCAGUAACACAGUCCCCACAGUAAGCACGAGGAGUUGGCUCAAGUCUCCGACCUGACUCAUGUAAUCUCAGAACGCUCGGAUCAACCAGUGCGCUCUCUGAACGCCCCGAGAGCGAGAACGCACUGCAUUUAUGAACUGACAAGUCUCUGAAUUUAUGAACGGACAACUGACAAGGCUCUGAAUUUAUAAACCGACAAGGCUCUGAAUUUAUAAACUGACAAGGCUCUGAAUUUAUAAACUGACAAGGCUCUGAAUUUAUAAACUGACAAGGCUCUGAAUUUAUAAACUGACAAGGCUCUGAAUUUAUAAACUGACAAGGCUCUGAAUUUAUAAACUGACAAGGCUCUGAAUUUAUAAACUGACAAGGCUCUGAAUUUAUAAACUGACAAGGCUCUGAAUUUAUAAACUGACAAGGCUCUGAAUUUAUAAACUGACAAGGCUCUGAAUUUAUAAACUGACAAGGCUCUGAAUUUAUAAACUGACAAGGCUCUGAAUUUAUAAACUGACAAGGCUCUGAAUUUAUAAACUGACAAGGCUCUGAAUUUAUAAACUGACAAGG